rnacentral:lncRNA from 1 species
AGUCUAAGUUUCCAUAACAUGGAAAAAUUUCUUAUCUUAGAGACAAACACGGAAAGGUAUAUACACAUAUAUAAUGCAAUUGUCUUGGGAAAGACAUUACUAGAGGAGAAAUACUAAUGCAUAAGUUCCUCCUUCUAGGACAGCUUUCGCAGCAGGGAUCCAGGAAAGCAACGCUUAUGGAGAAGGGGACAACCACUACCAUCAACUUUCAUCCAUAUGGUGGGGAAACCAUCUAACUAAAAUAGCAACAUGUCUUGAGGCAGGGAGAGAAAGAAUACAGGAUGUUCCAGGUGGAUGGAGUAUUGAAUCUGGAAUCAGGGAGACUCAUCUACUUCAGUUCAAUUCCGUCCUUAGACUUUUACUAGUUAUGUGACACUGGGAAAGAACUUAAACCUCCUUGCCUCAGUUUCCUCAUUGGUUAAAAGAACUCGAGAAGGAACUGGACAAACACUCCAUUAUCUUCGUCAGAAAACCCCAAAUGGAUUUUCAAAGAAUUGAAUAUAACUGAAAUGACUGAACAACAACAAAAUCUGGCUGAAUUGAGAUAAAUUAUGAGAGUUGUACCAUGCAAUAUUAAAACAUUAGAUGAUAAG